UACAGAGGGUGCUAGCGUUGUUCGGAAUCAUUGGGCGUAAAGGGCGUGUAGGCGGUUUGUUAAGUCAUGUGUGAAAUCCCUCGGCUCAACCAGGGAACGACGCAUGAAACUGGCAAGCUAGAGUACCAAAGAGGGGGGUGGAAUUCCCGGUGUAGCGGUGAAAUGCGUAGAUAUCAGGAAGAACACCGGUGGCGAAGGCGGCUCGCUGGGCCAGUUCUGACACUCAUCCGCGAAAGCGUGGGGAGCAAACAGG
rnacentral:rRNA from 1 species